AGAGAAACAAAAAACAUAAAGAAUAAACGAAAUAAAAAAAUGGGAACCUAACCCAGUCACUAUCAAAACAGCUAGUAGCCACUAACUUUUUGUCUUUUCAAAUCUCUAUACCAGCUUACCAACCGAUAGCAAGUUCCAAGAAAAUCUUUCAUUGCUGCUACCCUUAUCUUUUCAUAUCUUCUUUGGAGAUUUCUCAAUCCGGUUGCCUUGGCCUUCUCCCUUCUCGGUCGUGUUAGAGAUGAACGAGAUUUGCUCUCUCUAGGUAUUUUUCUUCUUGCUUCCUUAAUGCUUCUCUUACCAGAUUAUAAGCAAAGCCAUUUCCAGAUCUUUGAACAAACUGGAAGUUGAUUUCUUGAAAAAAAGGCUUUUUGCUGUAAAUGUCUCGGAUAAUCGCCCUUAGUACGGAUUUGUCUGUCGUUGCUGAUUUACAUUUCUUUAUGACCGAUUUUGAAUCUCCUACAAUGUCUACUGUUUGAAACCCUAAGAAAAUUCCUAACUUCACUUCUUGUAAACUUGCAUAUGCCUCUGCCAUCAACGGAGACGAUAUUUCGAGAUGAAAGGUCGUCUUCAAAGCUAAGAGUUCACCUGUCAUCCCCCACACCACCAUUCCCUAAGCCGAUCUAGAAGAUUCACCAUCAAAGGCUGUAUCAAAAUAGAUAGUUACUCUCUCGCUUCUCUCUCCCUGUCUCUGUCCACGACCAACAACUAAGGUAAGUGCCUUUUCUUCCAACCCGUCAAUCUCUGCUAU
rnacentral:lncRNA from 1 species